ensembl:piRNA 21ur-16 ncRNA
UAGUGUAGAAAAGUGGUUGCU